UCACGGCCAGGGACGAGCUGGCAAAAACACCGACCGACACGGGGAUCCCGAGCAGCUUGGGGAUGGGCUCACCUCGGAGCGGGGAAAGCUCCCGCGUCCCAAACACCGCCGGCGUGGAGGGGAGGAGGAAGCAGAAGCCGAGGUUUGGGGAGCAGAGACAGGGCUGGUGUUCCUGCAGCCUUCCUGAUAUAUUUACAAGAGAUUUCCUCUUGUUCUGCGCCUUCCAGAUGCCGACCUCAAAAGGCCAGUUCUAACCACAUUUGAGAAGGGCUGUGAGAGAAGCAGUAGCGUGGCAUUUACUACCUGGUGCAGUGAUGUCUGUACCCUACUCGGGACUGUUUUCCUGUCAGUGUCACCGAUGGAGCAAAAGACACGAGCUCCCUCUUCCAGAAACUAUAGUUACAAAGGUGUUCAUUUGUGAGCCCUAAAGCCACACUUCACCAAGCCAUCUGCUCAUCUUCAACAGGCUGAUAUCUGUUGAGUAACAAAGUGAAUUUCAGUAAUAGAAGCUUGUUUUCAAGCCUGCAGAGAAUUUACUCUGGUGUUUUACUGCGUCUCUUCACCGGCAUAAAGAUACUGUGCAGGGUUACCUGGGUGCUGGAGGAUUCAGAGGGCAUUGUUCUCUGGGAAUCAUCAGCUUUGCUUCCCAGGACUUAUCCCAGGUAAAAUGCAUCUCUAGGGUGGCUCCUUCUCAACUGUUCUGAACCUGUGCUCUUCAGGUGCAGCAAAGCCCACUGAAUUCCUCAAUUUUCCCCAGUGUUUAUUUCAUUUCCUCUGCCCUGUCUGUGUUUGUGAAGAGGUGACUGCAUUACUAUAAGUAGAUAAUUUGUAAAUUGAAGAAAGAAGGGACUCCCACAAUGUUUACCCACCUGACUGUAGGAAAGCCAGCCAGUGCAAUUGUGCACCAAUGACUGUAAUUAAUUGCUGCCAUGGCAACAAGCGCAAUCAACACACCUUAUUUCAUUCACAAUCCUUUUCCAGGAAAUUCCACUUUUUUCUCCUUUUUUUGUGUUUGUUUUUUUGGUUUUGUGGGGUUUUUUGUUUGUUUUGUUUUUUGUUCUUCUUGUGGACUGAAGAAUUAAAUUCAAACAGUUUUAUCAUUCAGCCUUCCAGUAAAGCUAAUGGGAUUCUGGAGUUUAUUGUUCUUUUAGACUUACCACAACUACUUCCCCUGUGGUUCAAAAGAGAAAAGCUGUUAGACAAUAUAUACAAUUACAAUUUGCAGAUUCGCUGCCCUUGGAAAUUACUAACUAUUGACUGGUUGAUCUGAGUUUUGGCUAUUCCAUCUCAGAUCUAAUCUUUUCAUCAUGCACUUGUACACAUCCAGUCUGAAGAGUCACAACCUGCAAUGAAUUUAAAAAA